GGCUGGGUCCUGAGCGGCGAAAGGCCGUGAACGAGUCAGGUCCGGAAGGAAGCAGCUAUAAGCGGACACUUUCGGGUGCCUCAGGGGUGCCUGGUCGCG
rnacentral:SRP_RNA from 1 species